GACGAACGCUGGCGGCGUGCUUAACACAUGCAAGUCGAGCGGUAAGGCCCUUUCGGGGGUACACGAGCGGCGAACGGGUGAGUAACACGUGGGUGACCUGCCCUCAGCUCUGGGAUAAGCCUGGGAAACCGGGUCUAAUACUGGAUAUGACUCCAUGACGCAUGUUGUGGGGUGGAAAGCCUUGUGCGGCUGAGGAUGGGCCCGCGGCCUAUCAGCUUGUUGGUGGGGUGANGGCCUACCAAGGCGACGACGGGUAGCCGGCCUGAGAGGGCGACCGGCCACACUGGGACUGAGACACGGCCCAGACUCCUACGGGAGGCAGCAGUGGGGAAUAUUGGGCAAUGGGCGAAAGCCUGACCCAGCGACGCCGCGUGGGGAUGAAGGCC
rnacentral:rRNA from 1 species